GUGAAUCAGAAGCUGCAUGUCUUACCUGCGCAGAAGAGUCCAUGUUGUUUACUCGGACGGCAUCCUCGAUGGUUCCAAUUUCCAGCCCAUUCCCCAAUUUUCAACCCCAGUGACAGACAACACACGCUGGAAUGUCUGUUUAGCUAAAGAAGGGAAUUGUGUCGGUGACAGUUGGGUGCAGGCGUCUGGGGAGGCUGAAUGAUGGCAAAGCCCAAAUGAACCUUGGUCUGACCUUUGACCACCUCCUCCCUGCAACAUCACCAGCUGAGGGCUGCCACAGAGGAUCUGCUUGUGUGCUAUGAACCAGAAGUGAUUGUCCCCCAUUGGUCCCAGGGUCCCCAUGGUGGAGGUCCACCCUACAGCUACGCUUCCAGUCACAGAGUCUGAUGAGGAGCACAAGGGCACGAAGGCUUACCCUGAAAGCCCUGAGUGCAAAGCUGGAGCCACACCCGCUUCCUCCUACUGGCUCGACGCGAUGAGACCCUGAGGGAA